CAUGAAGCUUUACCCUAACUUCCCGAAUCUGAGAAUGGCGAUCCUCUAAUCCUUUGAAUUCAAGCAAGUAUAUGGCGAAGAUUCUGGAACAGAUGCCAGGCAAGAGUCAGGAAAAGAACAUGGUCAAAGUACAUUACAACUUGGGAGUGGGGGGGGGAGGAGACUCAAGGUAUCGAUCACUCCUUGUGGAAUGUUUGUGAGGGUUACCAUGACUUCCCAACAUUCUGUAACUGCUUUAGCGUAAGAGUCCUCACACAAACGUCACAGCUCAGCAUCUCUGAACUGUCACCAUGUAACCUUUUUCUUGCCUGUUAUCGGUCUACUCGGAGGAUGAUUCAGGACCAGUCACUAAGCCAGUAACACUGUAACCUUUCCCCCAGAGUGUUUCCCCUGGAUCUGCAGAAGACGCCAGGCAAGCAGGCAAACAUCUUCCGCUAGCUUAUGGUAGACCAAGGUGCUCAUGAAGUUGUCUCACGGAAUUGUUGUCAAUGAGGAGAAAGAAACAAAUUCUGAGCAGAGACCUGCUUCAGUCAACAAGUCAGAUGGCUACUCAACCUGUCAGAGCUUCUGAGCCCAGAGAUUUUUCUGGAGGCAAAUCCUUCAUGGCCUCAGGCAGCCCAGACAGCUCCAAAGCUCGUGUCUGCAUCUGAGGGCCGGUGUCGCACUGAAGCAAGUCAUCUCAGCUUCCCUCCAGCCUUCCCGCCAUGCUUCCUGUGGCAGGCUCACAAGGACCCCACCUCAGUGUGCCUCCUCCUCAAGACCACUUGUGACCUUCAAAAUGACAGCUGCUAAGGAUGCCGAAGCCUGGUCAGACAAGCUCCUCACCAACUCUGGAGCUCAGUGGCUGUAUCAGUGUGGAUGGGAAAGGCAUCUGGUUUCACUAAUGGUUGCCAGUGUCUCCUUCAGUGGCACACACCACAACGGCCGCAUCGGCGGUAGUCUCUGGAAGCAACAUAGCUAUUUCCAGACCUGUUCAAGUUGUGUCAGGUGGUUGAAAAUGUCAUUAAACCCAUUACUGCUCCAAAAUUACAGUCAUUAUUGAAACCCGCUCCUAGACCUUGUUAUUUAGUAUGUUAAUAAACAAGGAUUCCUAGAA